GCUUACGACCACACCGGCCUGAGUACGCCUGAUCUCGUCUGAUCUCGGAAGCUAAGCAGGUCGGGCCUGGUUAGUACUGGAUGGGAGACCGCCUGGGAAUACCAGGUGCUGUAAGAU
rnacentral:rRNA from 1 species